rnacentral:lncRNA from 1 species
CUUACAGUAGCAUUCAAGUAAUGACCUUUGAAAAUUCGCCUGUUUCAGCCCUGCGGACACGGUGAUUUUAUUUCACUAACGAAAUAUGUACUCUACUGGUAUGGCUCCUGCUUCGGCUGUUGCAAAACCUGAUGGCGAUGAUGUAAUGAUUGUUGACAAACUCCCAGCAAAACCUGAUGAUGACGAUGAUGCAAUGCCUGUCGAUAAACUCCCAGAGGAAAUCAAUGAAAUGAAGAUUAAGGGUGAGAGAGUUGAAAAGGUAUUUUAUGGACCUUUUUCUAGUGCAACUUCUUUCUUUCUUUUUUCUUUUUUCUUUUUUUUCUGCUUCUUCAAUAUAUACCGAUUUUCUGUUGGUAGGAAAUGGAAGCGACCGUGGUUGAUGGAAAUGGAACUGAGACUGGCCAUAUUAUUGUAACAACUAUUGGUGGUAGAAAUGGCC